rnacentral:rRNA from 24 species
GGGUUGUGAGGUUAAGCGACUAAGCGUACACGGUGGAUGCCCUGGCAGUCAGAGGCGAUGAAGGGCGUGCUAAUCUGCGAUAAGCGCCGGUAAGGUGAUAUGAACCGUUAUAACCGGCGAUACCCGAAUGGGGAAACCCAGUGUGAUUCGUCACACUAUCAUUAACUGAAUCCAUAGGUUAAUGAGGCGAACCGGGGGAACUGAAACAUCUAAGUACCCCGAGGAAAAGAAAUCAACCGAGAUUCCCCCAGUAGCGGCGAGCGAACGGGGAGGAGCCCAGAGCCUGAAUCAGCAUGUGUGUUAGUGGAAGCGUCUGGAAAGGCGCGCGAUACAGGGUGACAGCCCCGUACACAAAAGCGCAUGUGCUGUGAGCUCGAUGAGUAGGGCGGGACACGUGGUAUCCUGUCUGAAUAUGGGGGGACCAUCCUCCAAGGCUAAAUACUCCUGACUGACCGAUAGUGAACCAGUACCGUGAGGGAAAGGCGAAAAGAACCCCGGCGAGGGGAGUGAAAAAGAACCUGAAACCGUGUACGUACAAGCAGUGGGAGCCCCACCACUAAGCCAGUGGUGAACUCCACAUACGCAUCCUUUGCUGAGGAUACGGUUAACGGAGCGAAAGCGACGUUCAACCGCAAAAGAAGCAGAGGGGGCUUAGUGGUGGGGUGACUGCGUACCUUUUGUAUAAUGGGUCAGCGACUUAUAUUCUGUAGCAAGGUUAACCGAAUAGGGGAGCCGGAGGGAAACCGAGUCUUAAUUGGGCGUUAAGUUGCAGGGUAUAGACCCGAAACCCGGUGAUCUAGCCAUGGGCAGGUUGAAGGUUGGGUAACACUAACUGGAGGACCGAACCGACUAAUGUUGAAAAAUUAGCGGAUGACCUGUGGCUGGGGGUGAAAGGCCAAUCAAACCGGGAGAUAGCUGGUUCUCCCCGAAAGCUAUUUAGGUAGCGCCUCGUGAAUUCAUCUCCGGGGGUAGAGCACUGUUUCGGCUAGGGGGCCAUCCCGGCUUACCAACCCGAUGCAAACUGCGAAUACCGGAGAAUGUUAUCACGGGAGACACACGGCGGGUGCUAACGUCCGUCGUGAAGAGGGAAACAACCCAGACCGCCAGCUAAGGUCCCAAAGUCAUGGUUAAGUGGGAAACGAUGUGGGAAGGCCCAGACAGCCAGGAUGUUGGCUUAGAAGCAGCCAUCAUUUAAAGAAAGCGUAAUAGCUCACUGGUCGAGUCGGCCUGCGCGGAAGAUGUAACGGGGCUAAACCAUGCACCGAAGCUGCGGCAGCGAACGUAUCACUUAAAGCGAUUCAGCGGGUUACGAUUGACGGAGCGAAGCGACGUCAAAGCGUAUACAAAGUCGAGUCGGUUUAAGGAUACGUUCGUUGGGUAGGGGAGCGUUCUGUAAGCCUGCGAAGGUGGCCUGUGAGGGUUGCUGGAGGUAUCAGAAGUGCGAAUGCUGACAUAAGUAACGAUAAAGCGGGUGAAAAGCCCGCUCGCCGGAAGACCAAGGGUUCCUGUCCAACGUUAAUCGGGGCAGGGUGAGUCGACCCCUAAGGCGAGGCCGAAAGGCGUAGUCGAUGGGAAACGGGUUAAUAUUCCCGUACUUGGUGUUACUGCGAAGGGGGGACGGAGAAGGCUAUGUUGGCCGGGCGACGGUUGUCCCGGUUUAAGCGUGUAGGUGUGUGUUCCAGGUAAAUCCGGUUCACUUUAACACUGAGGCGUGAUGACGAGGCACUACGGUGCUGAAGCAACAAAUGCCCUGCUUCCAGGAAAAGCCUCUAAGCAUCAGGUAACAUCAAAUCGUACCCCAAACCGACACAGGUGGUCAGGUAGAGAAUACCAAGGCGCUUGAGAGAACUCGGGUGAAGGAACUAGGCAAAAUGGUGCCGUAACUUCGGGAGAAGGCACGCUGACACGUAGGUGAAGUGAUUUACUCAUGGAGCUGAAGUCAGUCGAAGAUACCAGCUGGCUGCAACUGUUUAUUAAAAACACAGCACUGUGCAAACACGAAAGUGGACGUAUACGGUGUGACGCCUGCCCGGUGCCGGAAGGUUAAUUGAUGGGGUCAGCGCAAGCGAAGCUCCUGAUCGAAGCCCCGGUAAACGGCGGCCGUAACUAUAACGGUCCUAAGGUAGCGAAAUUCCUUGUCGGGUAAGUUCCGACCUGCACGAAUGGCGUAAUGAUGGCCAGGCUGUCUCCACCCGAGACUCAGUGAAAUUGAACUCGCUGUGAAGAUGCAGUGUACCCGCGGCAAGACGGAAAGACCCCGUGAACCUUUACUAUAGCUUGACACUGAACAUUGAGCCUUGAUGUGUAGGAUAGGUGGGAGGCUUUGAAGUGUGGACGCCAGUCUGCAUGGAGCCGACCUUGAAAUACCACCCUUUAAUGUUUGAUGUUCUAACGUGGACCCGUGAUCCGGGUUGCGGACAGUGUCUGGUGGGUAGUUUGACUGGGGCGGUCUCCUCCUAAAGAGUAACGGAGGAGCACGAAGGUUGGCUAAUCCUGGUCGGACAUCAGGAGGUUAGUGCAAUGGCAUAAGCCAGCUUGACUGCGAGCGUGACGGCGCGAGCAGGUGCGAAAGCAGGUCAUAGUGAUCCGGUGGUUCUGAAUGGAAGGGCCAUCGCUCAACGGAUAAAAGGUACUCCGGGGAUAACAGGCUGAUACCGCCCAAGAGUUCAUAUCGACGGCGGUGUUUGGCACCUCGAUGUCGGCUCAUCACAUCCUGGGGCUGAAGUAGGUCCCAAGGGUAUGGCUGUUCGCCAUUUAAAGUGGUACGCGAGCUGGGUUUAGAACGUCGUGAGACAGUUCGGUCCCUAUCUGCCGUGGGCGCUGGAGAACUGAGGGGGGCUGCUCCUAGUACGAGAGGACCGGAGUGGACGCAUCACUGGUGUUCGGGUUGUCAUGCCAAUGGCACUGCCCGGUAGCUAAAUGCGGAAGAGAUAAGUGCUGAAAGCAUCUAAGCACGAAACUUGCCCCGAGAUGAGUUCUCCCUGAGACUUAGAGUCUCCUGAAGGAACGUUGAAGACGACGACGUUGAUAGGCCGGGUGUGUAAGCGCAGCGAUGCGUUGAGCUAACCGGUACUAAUGAACCGUGAGGCUUAACCUUACAACGCCGAAG